UUAGUAUUUUAUCGGUAUUGUUUUUAAUCUCUUAAAAAUAGAUAAACACUUGCAUUCCAAUUCCAAUACGUAUUCUAAUGGGCAGAAUGCCUUGGUGAUCUAUUGGGAAGCACGGGGCACUAAAACUUUUAGUCGGUGGCCAGCGAGUUGUCGGUGUGCUUCUGAGUGUGUGGCAGAGUUAGCUCAGGACGUCAGGAGUGCGAUUGUCUAAUUUAUAAAAAAUAAACACGAACGCACCUACAAUGCGAUAUCAAUGCCAAGCGGCGUUCAGAAACCUAAUUCGCCGGUGCAACAACAUAAAACCGCCAAUACCAUGUGGCGCUGAGCUUUUAAGGACGCAACUUCAGAUCCUGCCGUCCUUCAUUUGCACCAUUUCUAAUAGCCGCAGGAACUACUCAAAGUUUAGCACCCACCUGUCCACAGAACGUGCAAUGGAUCUGCUAUGCAACCUGGAUGAUGAGGAGCGCAGCAACCUACGCUCCGCACUCGGCAAAAUUGACGCUGACAAGGAGAAGAAGCUGUACGAGAGCCAACUGGCCGUCGGUAGUUGGCGCACUCGCUUCGGACGACUCUCCAAUAAAGCGGAAUUAGGUGAAGUCAUCGCAGGCACUUUUUGUACAGUACCAGACGAUUGGCUGCGAAAAAAAAUGGUUGAAUCAGCAGCACCCCCCACUGCAGGACAAUUGUACAGCAUUUUCUUUGUGAAUGCAGUGCCGUUUAUCGCCUUCGGAUUUCUUGACAAUUUUAUCAUGAUCAUGGCGGGCGAAUAUAUUGAAUAUUAUUUGGGCCACUUUAUAACGCUAUCUACGAUGGCAGCCGCUGGACUUGGAAACACUAUAAGCGAUAUUCUCGGCAUCACCAUGGCCACCUACGUUGAAAACGGCUGUCAGAUAUUGGGUUUAAAGCAGCCCAAGUUGACUCCAGCGCAAUUUGAAUUGAAGUCUAGCAAGCGGUCAUCAAGCUAUGGCCGUAUUGUCGGAAUCACUGUAGGGUGUCUGCUUGGAAUGUGCCCUCUGUGGUUCAUGGAUGAGAAAGCAGAUAAGGUAGACAUUGAUGACUAAAUGCACAAGAACUAGGAAGCCUUAACCAGCUUGUCAAUUGAUCAGACAUCAUAUUUUAUGAUUUAAAUUUCCUGUUUCUAUUGACCGGAAAUUAUUUUCAAAACUACUUUUCUAUUAGCAAGCAACUCUUUUCUAUGAAUUUCCUACAACGAGCAUAUCAAAGAACGGUCACUAAUCUCUGACGCAAAACAUUAUUUUUAAAUUUAGAAUGUAUAUCAGAUAAAUACACGCGCAAGUUUGUUUCAGCCGAGGGCCACGCCCUUCUCCUUGCGGUACUAAGGUGUACGGACGACCAAUAAUACGAAUACAGGUUACAUCCUUGCUAAGAGAUAUCUCUAUAGUUAUUGAGGCCCGACCUCCCAAUUUGUUUUAUUUUAAGAGGUUAUUCUGUUUUAAAAUAUUUUAAUAAACAAUGGAUACAGUAAAACCUGUCUAUUC